rnacentral:sRNA from 1 species
UCUACCGUCACAGAGAGCGUUGUACGCAA